rnacentral:lncRNA from 8 species
AAUUCUAAUCUCAAAUUCAUGUAAAUCUAAAUAACCCCCAAACAACGUAAUGCGGGUUUACGUACCAUUUUCUCGCCUUCAUGAUUUUGAGAGUUUAUGUAAAAAGGCCGUCUCGUUUAUUGAAAGCAUACAGCUCACAUCUCUUGUCAGUCGUGUUUUCGGAGCUGCAGCUAAGAAGUGUCUCCUAACACCCACCACUUCUGUUUCAACAUUUUCAACAUUUAGCACAAGUUUCCAUCUGAAGAGGAUACUGAAAGCUGUGUUCUGGUUCUGUCCUUCUCCUCCCCAAGGCAUUUACUGCACUGCUGGAAGUAGAAACAAGUCAUCUGUACGCGACUGAACUCUGAUUUGAAGUGCACACAUGUUCACUCCCUUUCAUAGAUUUAAAAUGAAUAGACUAGUGUAAGGAAUACUUGCACAAAUCCAGUGCUUUUAAACACAUGAUGGAGUCAACAAGUGCACACUUACAGUAAAAAGGAAGGGAAUUGGAAUUCAUCCCACAUGUGACUCAUCUUUUGUUCCCAGUGGCUCCUGAAUUUGACUCUCAUGCUAUGCCACUGGAUGACACUCAGCAGACUAUGCGCACAUCCUCAUCCAUUUAGUUAAUUGCUGAUCUAUAAGAUAUCUUAUCAAUUUAAUAUUUAUAAGGUGGAAUCGGCUGUUGGCAUUUAUACAGGAAUACAGUAUUGUGUAGGCAUGCCUUUUACUCUGCUACAAUACUGUUAUAGAUGCCAAUACCAUUCAGGUGUAAGAAGUUACUGUGGAAUAUAUUAGUCAAAACCCUCUUAUCCAAGUAAAUCUGCAUAGGUAGUGUUCAAAUUAAAGUUGUAACUGAGAGGACGACCAAUAAAUAUCAUUACCGUAUUUGCUGUUAAAUCAACUGUCUUUUUGUUUUUAAUUUAUGCCACAUUUAUAUUACAAUUCACUUGAACACAGUUAUACAUUGACCUUUGAAGCUCGGCAAAUAUUUAUUUGGUUUAUGACCGUGUCCUGUGCUGCCUUUCUUUACAAUGUUUUUUUUAAAGCACAGCAACAUUCAAACAGCAGCCUGCUGACCAAGCAUGCAGUGGUCUUUGUAACUUUGCCUGCCACCAGUUUGAAAGAGCGUAACAAUGUAUUACUAACAGGAAAUGCUUACAGCUUCACCUCAAUGGCUUUUUGAAAGUAGCUGGGUGUCAGAAUUAAUGAUUGUUUAAUUAUACUGAACAAAAAUAUAAAUGCAACAAUUUGAAAGAUUUUACUGAGUUAGAGCUAAUAUGAGGAAAUCGGUCAAUUUAAAUAAAUGCAUUAGGCACUAAUCUAUGGAUUUCACAUGACUGGGAAUACAGAUAUGCAUUUGUUGGUCACAGAUACCUUAAAAAAGGUAGGAUCAUGGCUCAGAAAACCAGUCAGUAUCUAGUGUGACCAUCAUUUACCUCAUACAGCGUGGCGCAUCUCUUUUGCAUAAAGUUGAUCAGGCUGUUGAUUGUGGCCUGUGGAAUGUUGUCCCACUUUUCAAUGGCUGUGCAAAGUUGCUGGUUAUUGGUGGGAUCUGGAACUAGCUGUCGUACACGUCGAUCCAGAGCAUCCAAAACAUACUCAAUGGGUAACAUGUCUGGUGACUAUGCAGGCCAUGGAAGAACUGGGACAUUUUCAGCUUCCAGUAAUUAUGUACAGAUCUUUGUGACAUGGGGCCGUGCAUUAUCAUGCUGAAACAUGAGGUGAUGGCGGCAGAUGAAUGGCACGAAAUCUGGCCAUCAUGAUCUUGUCACUUUAUCUCUUUGCAUUCAAAUUGCCAUCGAUAAAAUGCAACUGUGUUCAUUGUCCGUAGCUUAUGCCUGCCCAUACCAUAACCCCACCUCCACCAUGGGGUACUCGGUUCACGACGUUGACAUCAAACCGCUCGCCCACACGACGCCAUACAUGUGGUCUGCGGUUGUAAGGCCGUUUAGACGUACUGCCAAAUUCUCUAAAAUUUGGCUUAUGGUAGAGAAAUGAACAUUAAAUUAUCUUGCAACAGCUCUGGUGGACAUUCCUGCAGUCAGCAUGCCAAUGGCACGCUCCCUCAAAACUUGAGACAUCUGUGGCAUUGUGUUGUGUGACAAAAGUGCACAUUUUAGAGUGGCCUUUUAUUGUCCCCAGCACAAUGUGCACCUGUGUAAUGAUUAUGCUGUUUAAUCAGCUUCUUCAUAUGCCACACCUUUUAGAGAAAUAAGCUUUUUGUGUGUAUGGAGCAUUUUAUUUUUUAUUUCAGAACAUGAAACAUGGGACCAACACUUUACAUGUUGCGUUUAUAUUUUUGUUCAGUUUAUAUAUGAUUGUUCAUUCAAAUGUCAUAACUCCACGUUUUUGAACCUUCAGAGUCGCUCUUGGUGAGAGACAAUCCUUGGUAUCCAAUGUGAUUAAGCCCUCAACUAUAGUAAAUAACUACAUGAAGCGUAAUAUAACACUUUUAUUAAGCCUAUAGGUUUAAUUAUGUAUACAUAAGUAAAUGGCCUAAUGACCACAUGAAGCACUGUGUAUGUUGUCAAAUGCAUUAUUAAAUCCAAUGUUUUAUGAUUACUUGCUAUGGCAAAAGCCAAUGCCACUUUUGGACAAUAGGCUGAUGCAAGUUUUAUAAUUUAUGACAACUGUAUAUACGAUAGACAAUUAAUAGCUGUAUAUAAUGUAGAAGUGUCCCAAGCACCCCUUAAAUGGGGAAGUUGGUUUGGAGCAGAAAGCUUGGAUUGCUAUUACAAACCUAAAAACUUCCCCUGUUUAUGAUUGAAGAAUGAAUGACAACCUGUGUGUCAGGAGGAUAUAUAACAUACAUUGAGAACAACAAGUCAGUUGUCUAGUGUGCGACAGAUUUGACGUGAUGUAUUAUGUUCAGGUGAUCUCACUCAUGUGCAGAUUAAAGAAACGUUGGCCCCUUCACAGUUUGUCUUUAUGAUUCCUUGCAUAUUAUUUCC